CAGUUCCUACGGGGCGCAGCAGUGGGGGAUAUUGCACAAUGGGGGGAACCCUGAUGCAGCGACGCCGCGUGGGUGAAGAAGCGCCUCGGCGCGUAAAGCUCUAUCAGCAGGGAAGAAAAAAGACGGUACCUGACUAAGAAGCCCCGGCUAACUACGUGCCAGCAGCCGCGGUAAUACGUAGGGGGCAAGCGUUAUCCGGAUUUACUGGGUGUAAAGGGAGCGUAGACGGCAAUACAAGUCGGAAGUGAAAUACCCGGGCUCAACCUGGGAACUGCUUUGGAAACUGUAUGGCUGGAGUGCUGGAG
rnacentral:rRNA from 1 species